UACGUAGGGUGCGAGCGUUGUCCGGAAUUAUUGGGCGUAAAGAGCUUGUAGGUGGUUUGUCGCGUCUGCUGUGAAAAUCCGAGGCUCAACCUCGGACUUGCAGUGGGUACGGGCAGACUAGAGUGUGGUAGGGGAGACUGGAAUUCCUGGUGUAGCGGUGAAAUGCGCAGAUAUCAGGAGGAACACCGGUGGCGAAGGCGGGUCUCUGGGCA
rnacentral:rRNA from 1 species